rnacentral:misc_RNA from 1 species
ACAACAGAACCAAAGAUGGAGUACUGCAGAACAACAAAAUAUAUAUAUACAUGAAAAGCUUCACCGACAACAAAAUGAAAAUGAAUUUCUAGUCAAACCAGAAAUUUUCAUUCCAUGAUAAUUCCGUUAAAGCAAAGGGUAUCAAACAAACGUUCCAGACGUCUUUGCAUAGCCUAAUAUAGUUUUUAUGCUAAGACGCUCGAUCAUGAUUCGUGGUUUUAGUUUCAGGAAGAAUCUAGCAGAACAAAAAAUAAUUCAUGAUUCUUGGUUUCAGUUGCAAGAAAAUACUUGCACAACCAAAAAAAUAUAUAGAUAAUUCUCAUGAUUGUUGCUUUUAGUGACAAGAUGAAUCAACAAGGAAAAAUGACAAUAAUGCUUAC